rnacentral:tRNA from 1 species
UGGUUCAGUUGGUAGAGCAUGGUGUUUGCAACGCCAGGGUUGUGGGUUUGAUUCCCAU